rnacentral:rRNA from 1 species
UAACUAUAAAUGGUUGACACUGCGAAAGGCUCAUUACAUCAGUCGCGUUCGAAGCAGUCUUGCGACCCGAGGUCGGCAAAUGGAUAACCGUGGAAAUGCUAGAGCUAAUACAUGCAAAAAGCGCCGACUGAUCGUUUCGGCGGUCGGAAGGCGCGCAUUUAUCACUGUACUGCGUCGGUCGCGCGAAAGCGUGCCAACGAGUGCUGACUCUGGAUAACUGUGAAAGAUCGCCGCCUUCAAUGCGGCGGCGACGGAUUGCUCAAACGUCUGUCCUAUCAACUUUCGUCGGUACGGUCCCGGCCUACCGAGGUGCUCACGGGUGACGGGGAAUCAGGGUUCGAUUCCGGAGAGGGAGCCCGAGAAACGGCUGCCACUUCCAAGGAAGGCAGCAGGCGCGCAAAUUACCCACUUCACAAAAAAGCGCGAGUGAGAGGUAGUGACGAGAAAUACCGUUGGCGGGCCUUAACGGGCGCCGUCAAUCGGAAUGAGAACAGUCCAGAAAGCUGGCCGACCGUGUCGGACGAAGCCCUUCGCGGGGCCGAGUCGGCGGUCUUUCGAGUAUCGAUCGGAGGGCAGCCUGGUGCCGCAGCCGCGGUAACUCCAGCUCCGAAAGUGUACGCUUAGUUGUUGUGGUUGAAAGCUCCUAGUCGAAGUGGUGCUCGAGCUUUCGAUGCGGGUGUCUCCGUCGUCGUUCAGUCGGCGGCGGAAUGCUCGUCACGCGUAAGAGAGAGAGAACGAAAUCGGGCGGCCGAGGUUCGCAUUUAUUUGCAACGCUCGACGGCCGUUCCCGGAAAGUUAGCCUGUCACAAUGCUGGUGAAUCAGGGCGGGUCAAAUCGACGACCCAGAAGUACGAGACAUGGUACCAAUGAAAAGGGCUGCGCGG